rnacentral:rRNA from 1 species
GUCGAGAAUUUUGGGCAAUGGACGAAAGUCUGACCCAGCAAUGCCGCGUGCGGGAUGAAGGUCUUCGGAUUGUAAACCGCUGUCGAGGGGGACGAAAAUUGACGGUACCCCUAGAGGAAGCCACGGCUAACUACGUGCCAGCAGCCGCGGUAAUACGUAGGUGGCGAGCGUUGUUCGGAUUUAUUGGGCGUAAAGGGUCCGCAGGGGGUUGAUUAAGUCUGACGUGAAAUCUCUGAGCUCAACUCAGAAAUUGCGUUGGAGACUGGUUGACUAGAGUAUUGGAGAGGUAAUUGGAAUUCCAGGUGUAGCGGUGGAAUGCGUAGAUAUCUGGAAGAACAUCGAAAGCGAAGGCAGAUUACUGGACAAUAACUGACCCUCAGGGACGAAAGCAUGGGGAGCAAACAGGAUUAGAAACCCCUGUAGUCC